AGUGAACGCUGGCGGCGUGCUUAACACAUGCAAGUCGAACGAGAACGGAAUAUAGCUUGCUAUAUUUGUCAGCUAAGUGGCGCACGGGUGAGUAAUGUAUAGAUAACCUGCCCUUAAGAAAGGAAUAACAGUUGGGAACGACUGCUAAUGCCCUAUAUGCCUUUAAUACAUAAGUAUGCAAGGGAAACGCUUUAGUGCUUAAGGAUGGGUCUGUAUGGUAUCAGCUUGUUGGUGAGGUAAUGGCUCACCAAGGCUAUGACGCCUAACUGGUUUGUGAGGAUGAUCAGUCACACUGGAACUGAGACACGGUCCAGACUCCUACGGGAGGCAGCAGUGGGGAAUAUUGCACAAUGGACGAAAGUCUGAUGCAGCAACGCCGCGUGGAGGAUGACACAUUUCGGUGCGUAAACUCCUUUUAUAUAGGAAGAUAAUGACGGUACUAUAUGAAUAAGCACCGGCUAACUCCGUGCCAGCCGCCGCGGUAACAC
rnacentral:rRNA from 1 species